rnacentral:rRNA from 1 species
AUUGAACGCUGGCGGCAGGCUUAACACAUGCAAGUCGAGCGAGCGGCGGACUGGUGAGUAAUGUCUGGGAAACUGCCUGUUGGAGGGGGAUAACUACUGGAACCGGUAGCUCAUACCGCAUACCAUCAGAUGUGCCCAGAUGGGAUUAGCUAGUAGGUGGGGUAAAGGCUCACCUAGGCGCCGAUCCCUAGCUGGUCUGAGAGGAUGACAAGCCACCCUGAAACUGAGAGACGGUCCAGACUCCUACGUGAAGCAGCAGGGGGGAAUAUUGCACAAUGGGCGCAAGCCUGAUACAGCCAUGCCGCGUGUGUGAAGAAGGCCUUCGGGUUGUAAAGCACUUUCAGCGAGGAGGCGUUACUCGCAGAAGAAGCACAGGCUAACGCCGUGCCAGCCGCCGCGGUAAUAC